rnacentral:rRNA from 1 species
AAAGAUGAUAGUGGUAAGGCGGAGAUUGCUUGACAAUGGCUUAGGUGUAACCAAAAACAUUGCUAAGGCGGUCUCUGGCGUCGCCCAUUUUAUUCUUCAAACUUUGACCUCAAAUCAGGUAGGACUACCCGCUGAACUUAAGCAUAUCAAUAAGCGGAGGAAAAGAAACCAACAGGGAUUGCCUCAGUAGCGGCGAGUGAAGCGGCAAAAGCUCAAAUUUGAAAUCUGGCGUCUUUGGCGUCCGAGUUGUAAUUUGAAGAAGGUAUCUUUGGGCCCGGCUCUUGUCUAUGUUCCUUGGAACAGGACGUCACAGAGGGUGAGAAUCCCGUGCGAUGAGAUGGCCCGGGUCUAUGUAAAGUUCCUUCGACGAGUCGAGUUGUUUGGGAAUGCAGCUCUAAGUGGGUGGUAAAUUCCAUCUAAAGCUAAAUAUUGGCGAGAGACCGAUAGCGAACAAGUACAGUGAUGGAAAGAUGAAAAGAACUUUGAAAAGAGAGUGAAAAAGUACGUGAAAUUGUUGAAAGGGAAGGGCUUGAGAUCAGACUUGGUAUUUUGCAAGUUACUCUUUCGGGGGUGGCCUCUGCGGUUUACCGGGCCAGCAUCGGUUUGGAGCGGUAGGAUAAUGGCGGGGGAAUGUGGCACGACUUUGGUUGUGUGUUAUAGCCUCUGACGAUACUGCCAGCCUAGACCGAGGACUGCGG